ensembl:snRNA U6 U6 spliceosomal RNA
GUGCUCACUUCAGCAGCACAUACACUAAAAUUGUAACGAUAAAGAGGAGUUUAGCAUGGCCCCUGCACAAGGAUGACAUGCAAAUUCAUGAAGCAUUCCAUAAUUUU